rnacentral:rRNA from 1 species
UACAGAGGGUGCAAGCGUUGCUCGGAAUUAUUGGGCGUAAAGGGCAGGUAGGUGGUCUCAUUUGUCAGGGGUGAAAGCCCUGGGCUUAACCCAGGAAGUGCCCUUGAAACGGUGGGACUAGAGUACUGGAGAGGGUCGUGGAAUUCCCGGUGUAGCGGUGAAAUUCGUAGAUAUUCGGAAGAACACCAGUGGCGAAGGCGACUCACUGGACACAUAUUGACGCUGAGGUGCGAAAGCGUGGGGAGCAAACAGG